GAUGAAGAACGUAGCGAAAUGCGAUACUUGGUGUGAAUUGCAGAAUCCCGUGAACCAUCGAGUCUUUGAACGCAAGUUGCGCCCGAAGCCAUCAGGUUGAGGGCACGUCUGCCUGGGCGUCACAUAUCGUUGCCCAAUGCCUAUUGCAGUGCAAUAGGAAUUUCUAGGGCGAAUGAUGGCUUCCCGUGAGCGUUGUUGCCUCGCGGUUGGUUGAAAAUCGAGUCCUUGGUAGGGUGUGCCAUGGUAGAUGGUGGUCGAGUUAGAACGAUACCGAUCAUGUGCAUGCUCCCCAAAAUAUGGCCUCUAUGACCCACACGCGUCUUUUGACGCUCAUGACGAGACCUCAGGUCAGGCGGGGCUACCCGCUGAAUUUAAGCAUAUCAACAAGCGGAGGA
rnacentral:misc_RNA from 1 species